AUAACGACUCUCGGCAACGGAUAUCUCGGCUCUCGCAUCGAUGAAGAACGUAGUGAAAUGCGAUACUUGGUGUGAAUUGCAGAAUCCCGUGAACCAUCGAGUCUUUGAACGCAAGUUGCGCCCCAAGCCUUUAGGCCGAGGGCACGUCUGCCUGGGUGUCACG
rnacentral:rRNA from 1 species